GGAUGAACGCUGGCGGCGUGCCUAAUACAUGCAAGUAGAACGCUGAAGGAAGGAGCUUGCUCUUUCCGGAUGAGUUGCGAACGGGUGAGUAACGCGUAGGUAACCUGCCUGGUAGCGGGGGAUAACUAUUGGAAACGAUAGCUAAUACCGCAUAACAGUAGAUGUUGCAUGACAACUAUUUGAAAGGGGCAAUUGCUCCACUACCAGAUGGACCUGCGUUGUAUUAGCUAGUUGGUGAGGUAACGGCUCACCAAGGCGACGAUACAUAGCCGACCUGAGAGGGUGAUCGGCCACACUGGGACUGAGACACGGCCCAGACUCCUACGGGAGGCAGCAGUAGGGAAUCUUCGGCAAUGGACGGAAGUCUGACCGAGCAACGCCGCGUGAGUGAAGAAGGUUUUCGGAUCGUAAAGCUCUGUUGUAAGAGAAGAACGAGUGUGAGAGUGGAAAGUUCACACUGUGACGGUAUCUUACCAGAAAGGGACGGCUAACUACGUG
rnacentral:rRNA from 1 species